GCGGGGUCCCGUUUAUGGCGGAGGAAGCUGCAAUACUCGGGAGAGCGUGCGGGGGAAGGAGCGACACAGGUAUUAAAACAUAGUUGAUGCUGAUGCAGUGCCUCAGUGUCAGAGGCUAAGGUGAGAGUCCAGCUGCUUCUGAGGACAUUGGCUGCUGCUAUCAAGAUAUGCAGACUGGGCUCCCUGGAGAACUGCAUCUUCCUAGACGCAAUGCCAACACGCCUCUGAUCAACCUGUACAGUGCCUCAUGGGGGUCUCGUGGCUACGGAUGCAUCAUGGGAGGUAUAGUAGGGCCAGGGGGCUCUGCCCACAGGCGAGAAUGUGGGCAUCAGAUUCCCAAACUACAACUCU